GGUUACACAGGAACAUGUCUGUAAUCUAUAUUUAGGAGAUCAGAGAAAACCUGCCUGAGAAGAAAGGAUGAAAUCUGAUACCUAUACAAGAAGGGAACUUUGUUAGGAAAACUGCUAUGGAGACCAUGCACAUGCUAACCCUGGAGGCAAGCCUCUGGUUCAUCUGGUGAUCUACCAACAGUUGGGAAUAUCUGCAGAAUGGAAUGCAAAGGAGGUGGAAGAGAUGGAAGAACGGCCUAUUCUUUGUGAGGGCAGGAAAAGGAGAUGUCAACUGCAGUGUAGCAAGAUGAUUUAUGACCUAAGAGUCGACACGAAACCUCUUUCUUUCACCAGGUCAUUGAUGUGUCUACAACAUAUUGAACAGACUUGUCCUUUGCUUUCAUGCUGUUCCCUCAACAUCUUGUCAUUCUAAUGAAAACAAAUGCCUCUUUCGUGCAUUACCAUAAUAUGCAACUGGAAAUAUGCCACUCUUCAAGAUUAUCCUCAAGAGACACAUUUUCCCAUCUCCUCCUUGCCUUCCAUAAAUGCCACGAAGUAGGGAAUGGUUUGCUGGCUAGAGUUGCUUUUUAAAUUGAAAUACUUCCAAACUUUAACUUCUGCUGAAAUAAAAAUGUGUACUAAGAUUCUCCGUGGCAUAAACAACUGUUCUGCAGGCUCAAAAACAGCAAACCUGGCACGUGGCUACAAUCCCAGCAUCAAAUGAGUUCUCUGGUAACAAUAAUUAUAAUAAAGACAGCCAAUCGUUGGAGAGUUGGGCUUCCCAGAGACCUAAAGUGAGAAGAAUUGCCAAGAGCAAAUGAGAACCAUAGAAGGAAGGAGCUCAGAGCAUGGAGAAGAGAUCACUGGAAGAAGGGGCACUGCAGGAAGAAAUGGCCUUUGGUCUCAUCAUUCUGGCCUGCUUGAGGAACAAAUCUACCCAAUCCUGCAUAUGAACCAGGACUGUGUAGGAAUGUGAGCCUCUGUCUGGUCCCAUGGGACAAAUUGCAUACAUAGUUCAACCAGGAAAAAAAAAAUCAUCAAAUCAAAUGUAGCAUAAGAUGAACUAUGAAAUGCUUCAGGGAAAUGUGCCCUGUCUAUCCAUCAGGACCCGUUCCUUAGAACCAU